UUUUAUAACAAAUGAUUAUUUUUGAAAAUGAGACCAAAUUUCGGCACUUACUGCAAAAGACCGAAAAACGGACUACGAUUUUCAGCAAAUUUCCUGAAUGAAAAAAAAAGAUUUCAAAGAAGUAUUUCUUAGUAAUUCUUUGACUGAUUGCCCUAAAUCUAGUUUUUUACGCCUUUCAAAUGUCUGCUAUUCAUCUAUAAUGAAAUUUAUUUGAUAAUUAUUGUUUAAAGAUGCAGUUAUUUGGUUUUUAAUAGAUGUGUAAAAGCGGCGAAUAUGUGUCCCCUGUUGACAAAAAAAUCAGGAAAUUUCAAACACCCUUUAAUCCAACUUUUCAGAUGAUUUUUCUCAAAACAAACACGUUUUCAAGCUAAGAAUAUUUUGCAUUUGAAGUUAUCUUCAUAUAGAAAUAUCAGUAUACUUCAAAAACAUAAAGACCUGAACAUAAACUGAAGAAAACAUGGAUAGCAAUG
rnacentral:lncRNA from 1 species